UACAGAGGGGGCAAGCGUUGUCCGGAUUUAUUGGGCGUAAAGAGCGUGUAGGCGGUCAGGUAGGUCGGUUGUGAAAACUGGAGGCUCAACCUUCAGAGGUCGACCGAAACCCCCUGGCUAGAGUCCGGGAGAGGAGAGUGGAAUUCCUGGUGUAGCGGUGAAAUGCGCAGAUAUCAGGAAGAACACCCGUGGCGAAAGCGGCUCUCUGGAACGGUACUGACGCUGAGACGCGAAAGCGUGGGGAGCGAACAGG
rnacentral:rRNA from 1 species